UGUUGAUCCAUUCUCUUCCACACUCUCGUACAGCUAGCAUCCUCUCACAUCUACCUAACCUUAUCUCUCUAUCUGUUCAGACAAAAAACCCCAUCUCCGACAGUAGAACUCGUCAUCUGCCAUUACAGUGUUGAGAUCUUCUUUAAUUCGUAGAAGAUCUCAACCCCUAAACCGAUUGCAGUAAGAUCCGAUUAGGGUUCAUUUGUGAAAACCACACUGAGAUCGGUUUAGUUGUUGUUCGAGGAUCUGAACUAUUAAUCUCCGAUCUUGGUUUUUAGAAUCGGAUCGGCAUUUUUAAGGUUCUAACGUCAAGCUUCGUAUCUCAAUCUUCAAUUACUAUCCUAUUCGACUACAUCAGAUGUAAGAUCAAGCAGAUCAGAAAAUGGGUCCGUACGGUGUUCAUGACUUAGAUGCAGAUUAAAGGACUGAAAUGCAAGAUAAGUUUAAGAAGGUGUAGUUGUUAGAUCUAUAUGUACACAUUCAAAGGUGGGAAGGUAAGCAGGCAUCAACAGAGUUCAAUAGGUGUAAAUUUGUGCAAUGAACAAAAAAUUCUUAGGUGAGGGAAACUAUGCAGUGAUGAAGGAGGAAGAAGAUUGAUGAUGAUGAUACAACAGAACAACAGUUUACAAGCUACAAUAUACAAAAGAAGAAGAAACGGGGAAGGAACAAAAGGCUAACAGAGUUGGUUAUAAAGCAGUUAUAAAUCAAAAAUGACAAAUGGACAAGUUUGAAACGCUAGAUGGUGAUUUGGACAUUGACUUUGACGUGAAGCUGCUAUCCGUUGACACCCCUGCAAGCUGGCCGGAGUGUACAUGCAACGUAGACUCAACUUGGAAAUGAAGUUGUAGAAGGUAUUUGGAGUAUGAGUUUUUGUGAACACAUCAGCUAGCUGGUUAAUGGUAGCAACGCGCAGCAGUUUUAGGACUAGUUUUUGUAGCUUCUGCCUCACUAGGUGGAAAUCAAUCUCAAAAUGUGCUUCGUCCUCUCAUGGAAAACUGGGUUCUUAACUAUUGCAAUAGCGGAUUUAUUGUCACAAUAUGACAUGGUCGGGGAAUCCACAACUAUCCCCAAGUUUUGCAGCAUGUAGAUUAGUCAUUGCACUUCACAUGUUGUUGUUGCAAGGGCCCCUGUAUUCAGCCUCAAAGCAACUCCUAGAGAUGGUGACUUGCUUCUUUGACUUCCAAGAAAUCAAAGUGGUGUCAAGGAACAUACAAAAAUCUGUGACAGAUUGCAUAGUAUCUGGACAUGCAGCCCAGUCAGAAUAAGUGAAGCCUUUGAGCUGCAAUGAAGACGUUGCUGAGAAGAAAAGACCCUGUCCCGAGCUGUUUUAAUAUACCUUAAGACCCUGUGAGCUGCCUGCAUGUGUAUAUUAGUAGGGUAGUCUAGGAAUUGA